rnacentral:tRNA from 3 species
GGGCCGUUAGCUCAGUUGGUAGAGCAGCUGACUCUUAAUCAGCGGGCCGUUGGUUCGAGUCCAACACGGCCCACCA